AGUAAACAGGGGUUGUGCUGCUGGACAAAACUUUGAUUUAGGAAGGAUUAUGUUAGCAUCAUGCACGAAGAACCUAAUGUUUGUGCAUUGGCUUCUGAAUAUGGAUCAUAUGUUAAAUGUUGAUCUACGCACCAUGUUAGUGUUCGUGCUUUUUCAAUGGAUGAGGAAAGAGGUACCAGAUGAAUAUGAAAUCAAUGCUUAAAGGACCGAGAUAGUUAUGCUUCUGGUUAGUUUGUUUUUUCUUAGGUUAUCCUUCUUUUAUUUGCUUUCAGUACUUCUGUAUCCAAUCUAAACUUCUAUUUGCGCCAACUGCACACAUAGAAAUUCAGUUAUCUUGUUUACUAUCUAAUAUUAGGAAAAUUUCACCAUAUCACUGCACUGAAAAAGUUACUAAGAUGAUUAGCUAAAAUCUAUUAUAACUUCACUGCAGUCCUAGAAUUUUCGGAGAAAUGCCAGAAGAAUUGACCACCGCACGCCUUGAUAGAUAACACUUAAUACGGGUAAUCAGCUUCAACCAUAUAGAGAAAUUGACUUAAUCUCCUACUUUAAUGCCUGCAUACAACUACUUAAAAGAUGGAUUGGCUCUCAAAUUCACUUUACACCUGCUUCUCUCAUUAAGCUGCUCUCUCCUUCUGAAGGUGAGGGGUGAUUUAAGUCUUCGUCUGGUUUUUUACCGUAAAGAACUUUCUGUGAGCUUCCAACUAUGUGAACAAUGUUGUGUCGACCAAGUUAGUAGAUGUGAUGUACAUGAUCUGUAGGUGCUCAAAACAUAUGGAUGCUCAACCGUAUUUAACAUGCUUCAUGUUCACCCUACGACAGUUUGUUGGCUGACUUCUUCUCUAGCUGAGGUAUUUUUCUCUAGAAAUCUAAAUUGGAAAUUCAUGAACAGACUGUAUAAAGUAAAAUGUAGAUGUUACCUGGGUCAUGUUCCCCAUAUUCAAAUCCUUACUCAAGGAAUUCCUACCUUCACAUGUGAUCCUUAAUCAUGGAUCUCCCUCAUGCAUGCUCACAUAUGUAGUACUCCCUUUAUCCCAAAUUAAUUGACCAUAUUUGUUUAGACUCGCAUGUAUCUACACACUAAAACGAGCCUAGAUACACGUGAAUGCAGGAAAAUCUAUGUCAAUUAAUUUAGGAAGGAGGAAGUAGUACAAAACAGUCAAAUAUUUCACAUGCGAAGGUAUAUAAAUUCUUGGAUCAAACCCUUUCUAUGCACAAGGAGUAAAAAAGUCAGGGCCAUAUCCCUGUACACCUCAUGCAACCAGGGUCAUUGUUAUGACACGACGAAGAGGCUAAGCACACGCUGGGCGACAGCCGGAGCAGGGCCUCGAGGACUGGAACGGUCGUCGUGGAGGGUGAUCUGUACACCACAGCCUCCAAGGCAUAAGAGGCAGAAGUAGCAGCCAAAAAGGCCGAGCGGCUUUUUCUGAAGGUGAGCAUUGAUGGGGCACCAUACCUCAGGAAGGUCGACCUCUAGACGUACAAGGGGUACAGGUAGCUCAGAGAGGCACUGGAUGUGUUCUUCUUUCCCAAGUCUUUCCCUGCCUCCAGGUGCCAGUAACCAGCUUUGAUUGAGGUUAAUUUUCUCACAGCUUUUACUCUGUAGAUAUUGCAGCGGAGAAGGAUCGAACCAUGCAUUGGUCGAAUUCCCUAAUAUUAGUUUAGAUUGUUGAUCAUGUGGAUCGACCAUUUAUGAUGUGUUUUUUUUUCACAAAGGGCCUAGGCCCAGCCUCCGCAUAAAUUGAUGUAUCCGGCUCAUUUAUGUGUGUUAUACCUUCUUUUAAGCAUGUGAGGUGCAUGUAUCAGACUCUGAUGUAAUCCCGAAUUCCAUAUAAUGCAAUCACAAUUCAGGUUGAUG